GAUCAUUACCGAGUGCUGGUUCCUUCGGGGCCCAACCUCCCACCCGUGUCUACCGUACCGUGUUGCUUCGGCGGGCCCGCCUUCUGGCCGCCGGGGGGGCAUCCCCCCCCGGCCCGCGCCCGCCGGAGACCCUGCGAACGCUGAUCUGGAAGACGUGUCGUCUGAGUCGCGUGAAAAAUCGUGAAAACUUUCAACAACGGAUCUCUUGGUUCCGGCAUCGAUGAAGAACGCAGCGAAAUGCGAUAAGUAAUGUGAAUUGCAGAAUUCCGUGAAUCAUCGAAUCUUUGAACGCACAUUGCGCCCUCUGGUAUUCCGGGGGGCAUGCCUGUCCGAGCGUCAUUGCUGCCCUCAAGCACGGCUUGUGUGUUGGGCCGCCGUCCCCGCCCGCCGCGGGGGGGACGGGCCCGAAAGGCAGCGGCGGCGCCGCGUGCGGUCCUCGAGCGUAUGGGGCUCUGUCACCCGCUCUGCAGGCCCGGCCGGCGCCCGCCGAGUCAACCCCUCUUCUUUCCAGGUUGACCUCGGAUCAGGUAGGGAUACCCGCUGAACUUAAGCAUAAUCCAUAAGCGGAUGAAAAGAUUCCAAUGAUUCACGGGAAAUUCCGGCAAUCCAC
rnacentral:misc_RNA from 1 species